AGUAAUGUAUGGGGAUCUGCCUGAUGGCGGGGGAUAACUACUGGAAACGGUAGCUAAUACCGCAUAAUGUCUACGGACCAAAGCGGGGGACCGCCGGGCCUCGCGCCAUCAGAUGAACCCAUAUGGGAUUAGCUAGUAGGUGAGGUAACGGCUUACCUAGGCGACGAUCCCUAGCUGGUCUGAGAGGAUGAUCAGCCACACUGGGACUGAGACACGGUCCAG
rnacentral:rRNA from 1 species